CCUUCCUCUGCAGGGAAAGAAAAGUAAUUUAAAUAUAAAUCAUUUAUUUAUCCCUGGUAUUUUUACAGCUUAUUUCAAAUGAAGUCUGUGGACCAGCAAAUCAAACUUAAACAGGCGCGGGCUUCCAGACUGGCCUUGAGACAAGUGUGGAAUUUUUAAGGAAGACAGAAGACUCUUGUGCUCUCUCACACCUGUGAAACAGCAGGGCCUCCAUCUGUUACAUCAUUUGAAACUUAAAAACAAAUUGAGUUGCUGGAAGCAAUGUGCAGGUUUUGGGACUAUUUCUGAAAGAUGCAUUCGGCUUAAAUUCAAGGGCAAACUACUGUUUUCCUGUUGAAUGCCUUGUACACAGAUUAUUACAGACUAGCAUUAUAUUUUUAAAUGAAAUGCUUCUUUCUUUGCCAACUAUGGAUUCAAACAGAUUUUAUUUUGAAACUCUAAAAUAAACAAACCUCAAUGAUAGCGUGAGAUUUCACAAAUGUUAAUUUAGACCAGAGUACAGCAUAUGUAUAAAGUAACUAUUUAUAUUCUGUGUCAAAGCAUACAGAUUGCAGAGAGAUGAUUAAGGUGUGACAAGAGCUUCCAGAUACAGUUAAAUGAACUUAAGAGAACUUUCUAUAUGUUGCUUAUUUAACUGCUAAAAAACAGUGGUAUGUAUUCCAUACUUCACACUGCUUCUAGCCACUGUAAGGAGGAAUGAAUUCAGAACACAGUUUAUGAUAUUAAUUUACUUCUGGAUGAGACAGAACAGCAAUAAAAGAGCUUUUGGCCUGACAGGUAGAGAGCUUAUCCCGUUCUGACCUGCUUCUCCUGGGAACAAAGAUUAUACUCUGCUGCAGCUUCAAUCAUUUACUGAAAAUAAAGCCAAUUCCUAUUGUAACAAACAAAAAUUCUACUUCUUAGAGGAAACAAAAAACCAUGACCACUGAGAAGUGCAAAAGAAGACAGGUAAGUUCAGUAUGAGGCUUCAGAUAAAGAGCCUUUGUUCCUUAUACAGAAAAAACCUUACAAGUACCAUUGUUUGUUUCCAUAUAUUUUCAAAGUUGUGACUCACUUCAUUAGAUUCUCCAGAGACUGCUCCUUCACUUUAAUAUCUGUAGAACAAAACAGUAUAUGAAACAGGUUCCUUACAAAAUUCCUGGUUAGUUUUCUAUAUAGCUGUGCAGAUUAGUUUAGGAUAUUCUAUAAACUUUAUAGCAACAUACUAGAUCUUAAAGGGAAGUGGAAUACGGAUUACAUUUUGUUUCGUAGGUUAAUUAUAAAGAAAUUAAUGUGAUUUUGUGCAUGUGAUUUUGCUCAAAGACAACGUAUCACAAAAUUCGGAGCAGGUAAGAUCAAUAAAAAAUAUUGCUAAGUAUUAAAAACGGUAGGCAUAUUUCCCACAGGAUAACUAAAUGCUUGUGUGCUUAGGCACAACCAAGGUAUUGUGACUACUUUGAAAUGAUAAAUAUGUUGUGGUUGCAGAAGGUGAAACCAAAUGACUGAUGGACAGUGAUUACAUCACCUCCAUGCAGGAACUGAACUUUCGUUAGCACUUCCUCACUGUCCCAACCAAAAUUUAGAACAAUCUUUCUCUUAUGGGAAAAAGGAGGAUUUGGGCAAAGAAAAAGGGCCAGACUUCAUCUCAUGCCUGUUGGGACGUUGGAAGAUGGUAGCUAAGGAACUGGGACUGCUGCUGCUUACCAAGUAAGCACAGUGUGUGCAUUCCAUUCUGCCUGUUCUUCUUGAUCUUGUCAAAAAAGCUUUCUGGCUUCCAUGUAUCUGUCCAGAAAACUAUAGAAACUGUCUCUCCAAAAUUGUACAACUGUAAAACAAAACAAAUCCAACACACAUACACAAUCAAAGUACCAGUACAGUGCACACACAAAAAAAUGUAUUAAAAUAACAGACAACUGGGAAACUCUUGAGAAGUCCUGAGCACAGCCGAGAAGGUUUUGCUUUUUUAACAAACUGUCUUUUCUUCUCAUUUACAGAGGGGCAUUGUUCUUUUACUCUCUGACAGUAAGGCAAAUUAAAGAGUGACUAAUGAACUACUGUAAAAUUUUUACCUACAUUUGCAUUCUCCUUUCCAACGUUCAGUAACUUCCUAUCUACCUUCUGUUUGUUGUUUUUUUUUUUUUAACUUAUUUCUGAAGUCUGUUAAAGGCAAAACUUAAUAAGAUUGGCACCAAAACUUUUAAUUACCAUUUUUUAUUUUAAUAUAAUAUAUAUUAGCUAGUCAACUUCAUGCAAACCAACAGCACUUGCAAUGUUUUCCCAAGCUUUGAUUCAAAUGAUAGAGCAGGAUUUAUAUUUAAGCAGCACUUUCCUGCAGAUGGGAGCUGUACCAUGCAAAUGCUGCUACUGUCUGAACAAUAACAGAUACGAAGAUCUGAAGACAGGGACAGAUUGUGCCUGAAUCAGAGAGGUGACACAUUUUUUAAUGCACAUAUGGUAAGAAGAAAGUGCUGACAGAUUCUGUGUCAAACACAUUCACUGCCUUUAUUUGCCAUCUUGCUGCUAUUUAUUACUGUAAAUCCCUAAUCGUGGUGAAGACAUUUGAAGCAAUACUGCCAAUCGUUUCCAGUGAUGCAAAAGUGAACAUUAGAUGUAACCUAAGGCAGAAUUUCGCUUGGAAGUGUUUGUAACAAGCUUGAAAAUGGGCAAAAACACACAUCAAUUUUGGUUAGUUUGGCUCAGGAAUGAGGCCAACCAAAAUGGAUUUUGCAGCAUGCCAACAUUCUGUCUGCUCAAGCCUACCAGAAAAACAGUGGUUUUACAUAGACUGUCCUCUCCUCUUUCUAUUUAAACCUGCAAGAAGGGAUAACUUUUCCUAGCCCACUACAGGAGGCACGGGGUGUGCUGUGCUGUUAGCAGAGAAAGGGAGCCCUCCGGCAGCACCCUGACACCCGGGGAUUCCCCUAUACCCAUUUAUUUUACUGUGGUGUGAGGUUCUGGUUUUAACGCUUGAAUGCAGGCAGAGCAGAAUUUGAAUCAAAGCAGUAAGUUGUUGUUUUCAAGGGACUGAGAGCUCAAAUUUUAACCAUUCACGCUGAUUAGGCACAGCCUUUAUUCAAAGAUUCCUGGAACAUUACUGAAAAUGUUUCCUCUUUUAAAUAUUUCAUUCUAGAACAAAGAUAAGAACACACAGUGUACAUUUCACAACCUAAAGGUUCUUCCAGUAAACUAAAUAUAGGUUGAACCAAAUGAAUUUCUCCUGAUGUAACAACUUAACUAUUUCAGGACUGUACUCUAGGGAAAGAUAAAAAGAAAAGAGAGUGAGCAAGCUGCUUUUGCCUCUUUUUCACAUGGCUGGAGUUCUGUCUGUUUUCUACCAAAACUGAAGCAAAACUGCUGGAAUUUCACUGCAGGAGCAGCUGGGACAAAGAUAGCUUUUAAUCUCAUGAUUGAGGCAGCACCUUCAGCCAUCACAAGUUGCUGAAACGUGCAGUAGCCACCUGAGAAACUAGCCAGCCUGCUGCCUGCCAUCUGAAAGCCACCACAGUCUUUUCCCAAAAAGCAACAGCUUUUCUUUAGCAAAUAAAACAGCCUUUAUUGGCUGUAAUACCCUGAAGGACAGGAACUUCCACCACUGCCCUGUAGCAAUAGGAUGUGCAGAAAUGGGCAUAAUGUUGUUGUCUGGCAUUUUAUUGGGAGUCUUUCUAACUACUCUGCUCCAUAUUAGAACCAAGUUGGAUAUAAACUUGACUAACAGGAUAGAAUGGGGCAUAUGUUAUUAACACAGAAUUGCCUUCACAACUUACAUGCUUGUAUUAAAUAAGCUUUUAAAUAAUGUAUUGCCUAGCUGAAAACUUUCAGAUACACAAUCUAUCAAUAAUGUAAAACUGAAGCAAUAAGUAGAUACUCCUAUUAUA